CUGGAAGCGCCGCCAGGCGCGCCCUGCACCUUUACCCGAUGUGAACCUAUACCCACCGUUGCCUCGGUGCGGCCGGGUGCCCUCGCGCACCCCCCAACCUGCCCCUUCCCCCUCCCCGGGGGCGGGAGCGGCGAGGGAGCCGGCCCGCCGUUGGCCCCAACUCCAAACCUCUUGUUUGUUCCAAACCUGUACCUUCUGAGUUGAUUUUACACAAAAUG
rnacentral:misc_RNA from 1 species